UACAAAGGGGGCUAGCGUUGCUCGGAAUCACUGGGCGUAAAGGGUGCGUAGGUGGGUCUUUAAGUCAGGGGUGAAAUCCUGGAGCUCAACUCCAGAACUGCCUUUGAUACUGAGGAUCUUGAGUUCGGGAGAGGUGAGUGGAACUGCGAGUGUAGAGGUGAAAUUCGUAGAUAUUCGCAAGAACACCAGUGGCGAAGGCGGCUCACUGGCCCGAUACUGACGCUGAGGCACGAAAGCGUGGGGAGCAAACAGG
rnacentral:rRNA from 1 species